rnacentral:rRNA from 1 species
UACGUAGGGGGCAAGCGUUGUCCGGAUUUAUUGGGCGUAAAGAGCGUGUAGGCGGUUUGGUAGGUCCGCUGUGAAAACUCGAGGCUCAACCUCGAGACGCCGGUGGAAACCAUCAGACUAGAGUCCGGAAGAGGAGAGUGGAAUUCCUGGUGUAGCGGUGAAAUGCGCAGAUAUCGGGAGGAACACCGGUGGCGAAGGCGGUUCUCUGGGCCUUACCUGACGCUGAGGAGCGAAAGCGUGGGGAGCGAACAGG